UUCCGGUUGAUCCUGCCGGAGACUACCGCUAUCGGAGUCCGAUUUAGCCAUGCUAGUCGCACGGGUCAGACCCGUGGCGAACAGCUCAGUAACACGUGGCCAAACUACCCUGUGGACGAGGAUAAUCUCGGGAAACUGAGGUCAAUCCUUGAUAGGGCUUCCAUCCUGGAGUGGAGGAAGUCCAAAAGUUGCUCUGCAGCACCACAGGAUGUGGCUGCGGCCGAUUAGGUAGACGGUGGGGUAACGGCCCACCGUGCCAGUAAUCGGUACGGGUGAUGAGAGUCAGAGCCCGGAGACGGUAUCUGAGACAAGAUACCGGGCCCUACGGGGCGCAGCAGGCGCGAAACCUUUACACUGCACGACAGUGCGAUAGGGGGAUUCCGAGUGCGAGGGCAUACAGUCCUCGCUUUUCUGGACCGUAAGGAGGUCCAAGAAUAAGGGCUGGGCAAGACCGGUGCCAGCCGCCGCGGU
rnacentral:rRNA from 1 species